GGCACCUUUUUACUUCAAAGAGUUUCAGUCCCUCGCCUUGCAUGCCGGUAGGCCAAACAUUUCCCCUGGUGUGCUGACACUUUGAAGGCACUUCUUGAUGCUCUUUUUGGUUGGGUCUCACUACCGAGGAAGUAAACCACUGCUUACACUUCCAUAGGUCUUUCGAUUAUUCUUCAAUAUUCCCUUCUCUCUGUUCUUAUAAAUAUCUCUAGCUAAUAAAAUUGGGUCGCUUGGCCUCCCUUCUGCUUAAACAAAAAGUUUCAGUUUCAGAGCACUCUGUUUCAGAUGUCAUCGUUGGUGCAGGUGCUGCUUGCUCUCUGUCCCUUCUUAUUUUCAGAUUUGAAACUUUUUGUUGAAGUUUUAUUACGGUUGUUCGGUUACGUAAUAUUGUAAUCAAACAAAGAUUCUAUACAUUCUUUUCGCCUCCUUUAUGUAAAUUUUAUCAUAUCAAUAAAUUUUUGUGGCUACGGUUCUCUGGUAACAAACAAGUGGCCGAGGAUAAAAGCAAAACUCUUGAAUGGACAUGUAUACAGACUGCAUCCUUCCAAGUUUCAUGCCAAACUGCCCGCAGAUUGAUAGAAAUUUUACGGCGACUGUUUUUAGCUCAAUGCAUUUUGACGAUAUUGUUUGUAUAGUCGUAGAAGCCACAUGGCUCCUCCUAAUCAUGCCAAGUGGAUUGGCUGACAUUCAUGAUUCAUUGUCCACGUAUAAAAUUCGGAAAAUGUUGAACAGAAAGGGAAGUCGGUUCCUUGGAUUAAUAUAUAAAAUUCUACCAUCAAACCUUAUAUUCUUUUGAGUUUCGGAUGUUAUAUACCAUGUUUUGAUUGGUAUUUUGUUUAAAAUGUCUCAAAAUACUCUGUCAAUUUUACCCCUAUGUUUUUUGUGGCUAUGGUCAUAUGAAUCGGUAAAAGCAUUAUUCUUCCCCCUUUUGUUUUCAUUUUGUUAGUGUAGUUUUAGUUGAUGAGCUCUCUCUCUUAUGGGUACAUUAUGAAUAUAUUUACUUAUUCUAUAUACAGGUUUCCUAAAAUGGAGCAACCACUGUUCACAUUGAAGAUGAAAUUUGGAGAGUAUCCAAAGAAGGUUAAGAAUUCUACAAUGAUAAAAUAUUAUUUUGGGAGACAAAAAAGGUUAGUUAGUUGAUGGGUCUUGUUAGUGCUACAAAAUCCAUGUAAUGAUGCGGUGCACAUUUUCAAUUUGAAAUUUGAAGAAGCUAUAAAGAUUUGAUCUAUCG
rnacentral:lncRNA from 1 species